rnacentral:lncRNA from 10 species
CACUCUUGCCAGUAAGUUACAUCGAAGCAGCUAUAUGGUAGAAUUGAUUAUGUAACACAAAACCCAUGGUAUCCAUUGCUCCUUAGAGUAGAAUUUAAAUCUUUACCUGGGCUCACAAGGUCCUGCCUCAAGUCCAGUCUCAGUUCAUCCUUUGGACUUCUUCUGGAAGAUUCCUCCGUAUCAGCCUGCCUUCUGGUCUUGACAUUUCCCUUUCUUACCUCGGGGCUUGUGCACCUGCCGUUGCCUCUCCUGGAAAGCUCUUCCCCAGGGCUUCACGUAACUGCCUUUGAAUCAUGAAAAUGGUAGUCUUUUCAACAAGUGACACUUGAACAAUUGGAUAUCGUACCUAGACCGUCCACAUGGAACAGAUGUGAUCACCAAGUUUUAGAAGAAACUUGCAAGCCCAUCGUCCAACACUUAACAUCUUUAUAGAUGGGGAAAUCCAAAGACGACAACUCAGCCCUGUCCCUCGUUGCAUGGUGUUUGGUGGAUGACUUGGCAUGAAGCAUCAUAUCUACAAGAAAAACAAGUCAAAGGCUGAUGCCUCUGAUGGGGAAAUCACCACUCUCUCAGUGGGCAGCCACAGGAAAUGGGUACCUGUCUAUACUGGGGCCACAGGAUUAUGGGGCAAUAUCCCACAUGCCAGAGCAUAACAUAGAGGCUCAUUAAGGACAGAUAUUUGGGAGUGUAUAUUUAUCAAAAAUUCAGAUGGGUGAAUGGCCAUCACAAAUGGGAGAGAGAACUGUUAGCCAACGGGUGACUCAGGGGCUGAGUGUGCACCCCUGUUAUGAAAACUGAUUGUUAAAAAAAAAAAAAAAGUUGUUUGCACUCAUCACAGAUAUCAACAUUUGAAGGCACUGGCUGAUUCCAACUUAUGGCAUAAAUGACUAUUCAAUCGCAAUUGGAAUAGCUUAGACAAAUUAUCUGUGAUUAAAGCAGGCCAAUUUCUCAAAAUAAAAGUCCAACCUGGAGCACAAAUGAGCCUAAGCGCUUGGUCCUUGGAAUAGUGACUUUUCUCUCUUGCAAAGCUUGGUCUCUAACCAAAUAAGUAUUUACCUAUACAUUUAGAGUUCAGAUCAAUAGGAGGAAGAUGAAAUAGCCAAGACUGCUUUUGUUGCACAUGACAAUGACAUAACUCAUCUUGUUUAAGAAUGAAAGGAGGCCGGGUGCGGUGGCUCACGCCUGCAAUCUAAACACUUUGGGAGGCUGAGGCAGGCGGAUCAUGAGGUCAGGAGAUCGAGACCUUCCUGGCUAACAUGGUGAAACCCCAUCUCUACUAAAAAUACAAAAAAUUAGCCCGGCGAGGUGGCAGACGCCUGUAGUCCCAGCUACUCGGGAGGCUGAGGCAGGAGAAUGGCGUGAACCUGAGAGGCGGAGCUUGCAGUGAGCCGAGAUCAUGCCACUGCACUCCAGCCUGGGCAACAGAGCGAGACUCCAACUCAAAAAAAAAAAAAAAAGAAUGAAAGGGAACUUAGCACUUGUAACUGAAGCAUCCAAGUUUACUGCUGACUUCAGGCAUGCUGGAUCCAGGCGGCGAGAAGCGUUAUCAAGAAUGUGUCAUUCUCUAUUUCUUGGCUCUGCUUUCCUCUAUAUUGCCAUUACUUUCAAGUAGGCUGUCUCCAUGUGAAUGGCAAAGCAAUCAUCUGUAGCUUCAGGCCUAGAUGGUCCCCACAACUGGUGGCUCCAAAAGAAACCAAAAGAAACACACACACACACACACACACACACAUACACACACACACACACACACACACACACACCCCUUUUUCCCAAUAGCUCUCACGAAAGUCCCAGGCAAGAAUCUCUCUGGCUAUACUUGGAACACAUACCCAACCCAGAACCCAUUCUCCUUGUUGGCCAUUUUGUGCAUAUCCAGGUGAUCACCAUGACCAGCCAUGCUGCCAUAAGGAUUCUUUUCAAGUCUCUUUAGGCAUCCACAUAAGGGGUACUGUGGAGUAUAGAGAUGACUAUUUCUUUGAAUACUGUGAUAGAUGCAAUAGUAGACUUGCAUUCAAGGUACCAUAGUACAGUAUAAGAAAAAAUAUAUAUGCCUUUGUAAACUGUGCUUACUCGCUCAGGAGCAGGGGGACGCCCCCUUCUUAAGGGAAGAGCCGGCAUCACACGCCCUCCCAGCUCAAGCUUCCCCUGCGACCUGCACGUGUGUGAAUUGGCAGGCCCCACUAAUAUUGGUAUUUCCCUCUCAUUCCUACUAUUACCCCUGCCAAGCUUGGGAUGGCAGAGUUGGAGUCAUAUCCAUUCUAGGAGCCUAAAGAUGUGACUCCUCUGCAUUGAUGAGAGACACGGAAGAGGGAAAAGCAAGGAAAGACUUUAGUGAGCUCUGAAGUCCCACCUGCCACUCCACUAAAUGCCAGAAUCAUCUGGCCUCACUUAGUGGGUGGAGCAAAUUCCUGCCCCCCAGGGCCUCCCUCCUGAACCUGCAAGGUUGGUGGGAGAGGGAGACCCUCCCCAAAAGAGGAAGCCUGUUGUGUUGAGAGUGAUUUCAGAGACCUCAGCCAGGAAAGGUAAAUCAAAAUAACCCUUACACUCCGCCUCCUUCUUCCUUUAGAGGGGAAUGUUUCCUGGCACGGGUGCUGCAGCUUAAUAAAUUGCAUGCAGUAGAUUUCAGGCCUUGAGAAAAUCUUAACACUAGCUAAUAUGACCAGCACUAACAAAAUUUCUUGGAGCUUAUAAUAACAAAAAAAGCUCAUUGACGGAUUCCCACUUUUAUUCCUGCCCCCCUUUUCCACUUAGCCUUAAAUUUUUUUUAAUAAGAAAUUUUUAUUAACAAAAACAACAACAAAAAAAAAACAGAGUGAAGCACUUCACAAGAUCUUGCCCAGUUUAUUUUUUUAAUCUGUAAUAAUGAGCAUAACAGUUCAGCAAUGGAAUACUCACUCCAACAAAAUCUCCAGAUCUUUACAUCCUGAGUCUGCGAGGGCUGGACACAUGCCCUUGCUAAUUAUCAACCUUCUGAAACAGCUCAAGACAUGGGAUUAAAAACUGCUGUGGAAUUUGAACUCACGGACAUUCAUCUGAGUCAGCUACUCUGAACUCGCAUCUACUAUAAGGACCUGAGCAUUUCCUUCUCCCGUUUCCUCAGGACCUGCUCGGGGGUGUUCAGGGGAAGGUUGUCACAAACAUACUUGCAAUAAAAAUAAUCAAACAAAUGGAGAGCAUGUCUAUUUCCGGAAUUAGAUUCUUUUGAUAGUGAAGGAAUCAAAUGGGAUAAGGGGCAGGGAGAAGUCAGGUAAGUCCAAUAUUACUAUGUCCACAUGCUUAAAUUUCACUCCUCGGGGGCUUAUUGUCCCUAACAAUGGCCCUUUUAGCUAUGGAAUACGGGGAAUGACUAACCUUUUUCUAGCCUGUCAGUGAGAACUACCACUAUAUAUUGGUAAGUAUUUCCGUACAAAAUUCACUUGGAAAGGAUAUUGUUUCAAGCCUGGACAAAGCUCAUAUUGUCAUGUUCCAGUUCCAGUUAUUUUAGGCAAGGAAGGGGAAUUUCCACUGCUCCCUACAAUCAGUUUUGAGCACUUAGCUCUGAGUAAUAACUUCCUUGUAAUCUGUCAGAGCC